rnacentral:rRNA from 1 species
ACGGAGGGUCCAAGCGUUAUCCGGAUUUAUUGGGUUUAAAGGGUGCGUAGGCGGAAAUUUAAGUCAGUGGUGAAAUCCUACAGCUCAACUGUAGAACUGCCAUUGAAACUGGAUUUCUUGAAUAUAGUUGAAGUAGGCGGAAUAUGUAGUGUAGCGGUGAAAUGCUUAGAUAUUACAUAGAACACCGAUUGCGAAGGCAGCUUGCUAAACUAUUAUUGACGCUGAGGCACGAAAGCAUGGGGAGCGAACAGG